AUGGCGAGCCACCGCCGCCUCCGCGACCUGCUCCUCCUCGCCGCGGCGCUCCUGCUCUCCGCCUCCUGCGCCGCCGCCGCCAACUUCGAGUACUGCAAUAAGGGGCGCCACUAUCCGGUGAAGGUGAGCGGCGUCGAGAUCGUCCCCGACCCCGUCGUGCGCGGCCAGCCCGCCACCUUCAAGAUCUCCGCCUCCACCGAUAAAACCAUCACCAAAGGGAAGCUGGUGGUAGAUGUGUGGUACUUCUUUUUACACGUCGAUUCAGAGACUCAUGACUUGUGUGCUGGGACUCCCUGUCCCGCAACGGGCAAAUUCGUACUAGCCAGCGAACAGACUUUGCCAUCUUACACCCCACCAGGUUCUUACAGUCUCCAGAUGAAGCUGCUGGGGGACAAGAACGAGGAGCUGACCUGCAUCUCGUUCGGGUUCAGCAUCGGGUUCGUCGCGCCUGUCGCCAUUAUGUGA
rnacentral:rRNA from 1 species